UACGUAGGGGGCAAGCGUUGUUCGGAAUUACUGGGCGUAAAGGGCGCGUAGGCGGCACGGCAAGUCGGGAGUGAAAGCCCGGGGCUCAACCCCGGAACUGCUUUCGAAACUGCCGAGCUAGAGUGCGGAAGAGGCAACUGGAAUUCCCAGUGUAGCGGUGAAAUGCGUAGAUAUUGGGAAGAACACCUGAGGCGAAGGCGGGUUGCUGGGCCGACACUGACGCUGAGGCGCGAAAGCCAGGGGAGCGAACGGG
rnacentral:rRNA from 1 species